UAUGUGAUCGUCUCUCGCAUAUCAAUAAGCGGAGGAAAAGAAACUAACAAGGAUUCCCCUAGUAACGGCGAGUGAAGCGGGAAGAGCUCAAAUUUGAAAUCUUAAAGGGUUUCCCUUUACGAAUUGUAGUUUAAAGAAGUGUUUUUCUGUUGAGGUUUUGGUAAAAGUUCUUUGGAAUAGGACAUCAUAGAGGGUGGGAAUCCCGUAUUUGACCUUUACUUUCAACUUUGUGAUACACUUUCAAAGAGUCGGAUUGUUUGGGAAUGCAGUCCAAAAUGGGUGGUAAAUUUCAUCUAAAGCUAAAUAUUGGCGAGAGACCGAUAGCGAACAAGUACCGUGAGGGAAAGAUGAAAAGAACUUUGAAAAGAGAGUUAAACAGUACGUGAAAUUGUCAAAAGGGAAGCGUUUGACACCAGUGUUGUUUUUUCUGAAAAUCAAUUAAAGAACUGUUUAUGCUAAGCUGUUUAGACUUUAUCAGCUAAUCUGUUUAGUUUUGAGCUUUUCUUUAAUGCACUUUUCAGUUAACAAGUCAACAUCAAUUUCUUUUGCUGUAAAAAAGCUUGAGGAAGGUGGCUUGAGAUUCGUCUUAAGUGUUUAUAGCCUCUUGCCUAUGCAGUCGGAGAGAUUGAGGUCUGCAGCGUAGAUCCUUCGGGGCUAAAUGCAUUUGUGCUAAGUUAUAGCAUUUUAUAGACAACUUGUUGGACUAUGAUUUGUCUUGUAGCUUACUCGCUUAUGUUAUUUUACCUACGCUUAGGAUGUUGAGUAGCGACAUACGCAC
rnacentral:rRNA from 1 species